UGUAAGUUCAAGGCCAGCCUGGGCGAGUGAGUUCAAGGUCAGCCUGAACUACAUAGUGAGACCCUGGUCUUUAAAAAAAACUUUUUAAAAUACUUCCAGGAAGAUAGCGGAGUGGUGAACAGCAGAGAAACGGUCUGAGAAUUGGUGUCCAGAUGCUGGAAUACAGCAAUGUGAGGAAGAGAAGAAGGGAAGUGGGUCCCUGGGACCCAGCAAGGAUCUGAAGCUAGAAUUGAAGUCCACAGGGAGAGUGAAGACAGAGACCUCAACACAGAAGGAGGAGGUGGCAAACCGUGCUUUCUGCCUGAGCCCUGACUCACUGCAUGGGAGGGGCAGCUCAAACCUGGAGAUGCACAGUGACUACUGGUGACCCCAGAGACCUCCACGGAGGAACACACCAGUGGAACAGAUCAGUGGACACAGCAGACCAAAGAGGCUGUCUGGUCCUUUUCUGCAGAACCCCGGACCGCGCCGGAGACGGCGGCCACAGGCGGCCACAGGCGGCCAAAGCCGACCACGGCGCCAGGUGCCGCGCAGCUGCUGAACUCAGGAAGCAGGGAGCCGCGCGCUGCACAACACUCCGAAACGUCAUUUCCGGUCGCGACCCGCACAGGCGGCCAGGAGUGAGCGGACCGCGUGGGGGGGGCGGGGUUCGGUCGCGGGCGGGCGGGGCAAGGAGGUCCGCGGCCGCUGUGGCGGGUGAGAGCCUUUGACUGGGAAGGGGCGGCGGGAGGCGGCCUCUGGCCCAUCCCCGCUCCUCAAUCGCUCACUCUGGUCACCGGGCCGGCCUGGCCACACCCGGCCGGGAAGGGCCGCCUCUCAUCCUUGAGGCCUGCGAGCACCCAGGGGUGAUAUGAGAGCCCUCCUGACUCGAGAGGCAUCCGGAGGGUCGUGCGCCCAUCCCGCGUGCUCCCAGUUCGCGCCCGAGCCCGACUGUGCCCACCUGACAACUUCCGGGCUCCCGGUGGAGAGGAACCCCAGCCUCACGGCCACUCACCCAAGUCCCUAAACACCUACCACUGUGCAAGCACCUGGGGCUGGCAUUGCCCACUGCCUUGGGCUGCAUCUGCUCAAACUCUUACAGCUGCAUGCAGAGACGGGUGGCAUCACAGCCUGAGCCCUGUGCCAGUGACUCCAGGCAGCCCGCCCUGCUGCACAGCCCAGGCGACACGGACACCAUCCUUCCUUCUGGCCGCUCCAGCACCGCGAUCCCCACCCCACCCCCGCACUUGACCUCUCCCACCCACCCUGCCUGUCCAGCCUCAGCUUUCUGCCACAAGACACAGGCUGGACCAGGUACUGGAGAUUGAAUCCAGAGCCUACAUACUGAGCUACAUCUUCAGCCCUUUCGUUUAUAGUUUUGGGUUGAUUUGUUUGUUUUUCUUGAUACCAGCGAUCGAACUCAGGACCUUGCGAUUGCAAAGCAGGGAGAGCCCUACCCUCGAGGCAGGCAGCAAAGAACCAGCACAGCCUAUGGAUCCUUCUCUGGAGGAGCCCAUGGCACUGGCAGGGGCGCUCUCCUGAGCUGCAGAGGUCUGGGCACCGCAUCCUCCGUGACAGCUAUGGUGUGCAGGAGAGGCAGGGGCGCCCAGCAGCAGCCGGGCCCAGGCCAGGAGGGAGGGUGUAUGGGCCCCCUGAGCAUCCUGGGAGCCACCGUGCUGCUCCUGACCCUGCCAUGGGGGGCCCAGGGCACUGCCCCAGCUGACCUCAGCACUGCUGUAGGCCACAUGGUGCCCCUGGCAGGGGGCCGCUAUCUGAGCAUUGGAGAUGGCUCUGUGGUGGAGUUUGAGUUCCCCGAGGAGAGUGAGGGCAUCAUUGUGAUCUCAAGCCAGUACCCGGGCCAGGUCAACGGGACCAGGCCUGGCCCUACCCUGAAGGUCACAUCCCUGGACACAGAGGUGCUGACCAUCAAGAAUGUGAGUGCCGACC
ensembl:lncRNA